rnacentral:rRNA from 1 species
AGUGAACGCUGGCGGUAGGCCUAACACAUGCAAGUCGAACGGCAGCACAGUAAGAGCUUGCUCUUACGGGUGGCGAGUGGCGGACGGGUGAGGAAUACAUCGGAAUCUACUUUUUCGUGGGGGAUAACGUAGGGAAACUUACGCUAAUACCGCGUACGACCUACGGGUGAAAGCAGGGGAUCUUCGGACCUUGCGCGAUUGAAUGAGCCGAUGUCGGAUUAGCUAGUUGGCGGGGUAAAGGCCCACCAAGGCGACGAUCCGUAGCUGGUCUGAGAGGAUGAUCAGCCACACUGGAACUGAGACACGGUCCAGACUCCUACGGGAGGCAGCAGUGGGGAAUAUUGGGCAAUGGGCGCAAGCCUGAUCCAGCCAUACCGCGUGGGUGAAGAAGGCCUUCGGGUUGUAAAGCCCUUUUGUUGGGAAAGAAAAGCAGCAGGUUAAUACCCCGCUGUUCUGACGGUACCCAAAGAAUAAGCACCGGCUAACUUCGUG